CACUGGGCCCCAUAGCAAAAAUCAGAAUUGGGCCCCUUAACCCCGCCCACUACCCACCAUGGCCCCUCCCACUUCCCGACCUGGCUCCUCCCAUGCCACACCCCCAUUAAAUAAAUCUAUACAUGACCUACAGAAACUGUUAAGGGUU